rnacentral:lncRNA from 1 species
AGUUUUAUUUAGGCUUUGCUUUUUUCUACUUUUAGAAUACGAGUUUUGAAUUUUUGAAUUGCUGUUAAAACUUUCAUCAUGAACACUGAAGUGAGUGAAAAGAGACUUUUGCAGUCAUUUUUUUGCUGGCUGCAGAUGACAGUGACACCCUGGGAGUUGAGAAAUGCUUGUAAGAUGGAAGGAGGCUGUGUCCCUGAAUGAUCACCUGGAAGAGAGCCACCUUAGCCAAUGAAACUCCUGCUAUGAAUGUUUGCUGAGCAAGAAAUAUACUUACUGCUUUAUAUGCCUUUGAAGCUAUAGGUUCAUAUUGUUACCACAAUUUAAAGUGCUAUAAUAAAAAGAGUUCAGGAAGCAGGCACAUGGAAGCAAUAAGAGCAACAAACAUUUACACAAGAUUUGGGGGUCUUUGGAAGUGGAGAAUGUGUUUGCCCUGGGGAAGAGAGGUGAUGUCUAGGAGACCUCUUCACUCAGGGCAAGCUCUAUGACCUGCUUUGACUCCAGAAUGUGGUAGAAGUGGCAUCACAUAAAUUGCAGAGCCUAGGCUUCAAGAGACCUUGCAACUUGCCUCUCACUGACUUGAAGUGCUCCCAUCAGAGCAUCUUGUAAGGAGCAGGUGGAGCAUGUGGACAAGCCAUCCCCACCAGCCCCUGAGACAUGUGAGAGAGGCCAGAACAGGCCAUCCGGACCCCACUGUGCUGGUGGAUGAGACAGCAGAAGGAAUAUCAACCUACCAACAGAAUCCUGAGAAAUGCUCACUCUUACUUCAAGCUGCUGCAUUUUGAUGUUAUGAAACCAUAAAUAACUUAUGAAGUCAUCUUUGCUGACUUAAAGUUUUCCAUAACUUUAUUAUAACAUAUCAAAAUUAUGAAAAAUGUGAAAAGUAGAAAACUGAUGAAUUUUGCUUCUUCAUAUGGUCUUUAAGAAUCUCAAAGGCACUGAAGUUUUUUAUCUUUUCUGUCUUAGAAUAAAAAACCUUGAAUGAAAAU